CAAUAGCGUAUAUUUAAGUUGUUGCAGUUAAAAAGCUCGUAGUCGGAUUUUGGCUGAGAACGAUCGGUCCGCCGUUAGGUGUGCACUGAUUGGUCUCAGCUUCCUGGUGAGGAGGUGUGCUUCACGGCCACUUAGUCACCGUGGUUACUUUGAAAAAAUUAGAGUGUUCAAAGCGGGCUUACGCUUGAAUAUAUUAGCAUGGAAUAACACCAUAGGACUCCUGUCCUACUUCGUUGGUCUCGGGACGGGAGUAAUGAUUAAGAGGAACAGUUGGGGGCAUUCGUAUUUCAUUGUCAGAGGUGAAAUUCUUGGAUUUAUGAAAGACGAACUUCUGCGAAAGCAUUUGCCAAGGAUGUUUUCAUUGA
rnacentral:rRNA from 1 species